rnacentral:rRNA from 1 species
AUUGAACGCUGGCGGCAGGCCUAACACAUGCAAGUCGAACGAGUGGCGGACGGGUGAGUCAUGUCUGGGAAACUGCCUGAAGGAGGGGGAUAACUACUGGAAACGGUAGCUAAUACCCCAUACCAUCAGAUGUGGCCAGAUGGGCUUAGCUUGUGGGUGGGGUAACGGCUCACCAAGGCGACGAUCCCUAGCUGGUCUGAGAGGAGGACCGGCAACACUGGAACUGAGAAACGGUCCAGACGCGUACGGGAGGCAGCAGUGGGGAAUAUUGCACAAGGGGCGCAAUCCUGAUGCAGCCAUACCGCGUGUAUGAAGAAGGCCUUCGGGUUGUAAAGUACUUUCUGCGGGGAGGCGUUACCCGCAGAAGAAGCACCGGCUAACUCCGUGCCAGCAGCCGCGGUAAUAC